rnacentral:rRNA from 1 species
GAUGAACGCUGGCGGCGUGCCUAAUACAUGCAAGUCGAGCGAACAGACGAGGAGCUUGCUCCUCUGACGUUAGCGGCGGACGGGUGAGUAACACGUGGAUAACCUACCUAUAAGACUGGGAUAACUUCGGGAAACCGGAGCUAAUACCGGAUAAUAUAUUGAACCGCAUGGUUCAAUAGUGAAAGACGGUUUUGCUGUCACUUAUAGAUGGAUCCGCGCCGCAUUAGCUAGUUGGUAAGGUAACGGCUUACCAAGGCAACGAUGCGUAGCCGACCUGAGAGGGAGGUCGGGCACACUGGAAGUGAGACACGGUCCAGACUCCUACGGGAGGCAGCAGUAGGGAAUCUUCCGCAAUGGGCGAAAGCCUGACGGAGCAACGCCGCGUGAGUGAUGAAGGUCUUCGGAUCGUAAAACUCUGUUAUUAGGGAAGAACAAAUGUGUAAGUAACUAUGCACGUCUUGACGGUACCUAAUCAGAAAGCCACGGCUAACUACGUG